GUGAGCUCUUCCGAUCUUUUAAGAUGACACUUUUAAAAUAAAAUCCUCUCCUAAUGAUGACUUGAGCCUUGCCACUUGAUGGGAGAAUCAGCAGAACCUGUAGAGUCUUAUUUGGAAUUGACAUUCUCUAUUGUAAUUUUGUUGGUUUAUUUUUAAAUUCUUUUUGUUUUCACUGGAAAGGAAAAGGUGAUGUGCAGUUUUAAU